GGAAGACCUAAAAAUAGUGGCAAAAAGCCAACCGAGCUUGGUGAUAGCUGGUUACUCAACAAAUGAACCUUAGUUCAACUUUAGGUGCCCAUGGGCCAACUACUUUAACCCACCACCCUUUAACCUAAAGAAAUUCAAUGGGGGUACAGCCCCAUUGAACCGGAAUACAACCCGAAUUGAGAGACACCUACUAAACUUUAACCCUAACAGUAGGCCCCAAAGCAGCCACCAACUAAACGCGUUACAGCUACAACAAAACAAUUUUUACAAUAAUAUACACCUCCUAGUAUACCACGAGUUAUUCUAUUUUUUAAUAGAAACACCAAUGCUAAAAUUAGUAAUAAGAAACCCUAAUUUCUCUCCGCACCCCCUUAAAUCAGAAUAGAAAAACUACUGAUAAUUAACACAACACGACCUACAACAACUAGCUAAUAUGUCAACUAAAAUCUGUUACCCCAACACAGGAGUGCAAAAAAGAAAGGCAAAAAGCCAUAAAAGGAACUCGGCAAACCCUACCGUCCCAACUGUUUACCAAAAACAUAGCCUUUAGCUCAACAAGUAUUAAAGGUCCCGCCUGCCCAGUGACUCUUUAAACGGCCGCGGUAUCCUAACCGUGCAAAGGUA
rnacentral:rRNA from 1 species